CGACUGAAAAGGAAAUAAAACUGAAACCGACCCAUGAAAGAAAAUCAUCUUAAAAUUUCACAGAUCUCUAAGUGAUAUCACUGAGCACUGCAUCUUCAGAGACAAUGGACCCUCUGGAUGGAAAAGGACACUGUGCCCUGGGGCCGCCACAUUUAAGCAUCUGCAUAUUUGUUGCGUUAAAUCUUCAACGUUCACCAGAGUCUCAAACCACACAGCUUUUCUAGGUUUUCACUUGCUGUUUCUAAGGGGAGAACAGAGAUUUCUUCCACUAUGAAAAGAAAGGGGUCCCCUUCUGUCCCUCUUAGACAGAACCUAUCUUGCGAUCAAAUUGUCCUACUCUUAAAACACAAACGAAAAGAAGGGGGGCUUCUUAUCGGAAAGUGUCUUCUUAUCAGAAGGGGGGCUCAGCUAAGGACCCCAGCACAUGACCUCACUUCCUUGGUGACAGGUCCAAACAGACCUUGGAACCCUGUCACCAGGCACCACGGUCUAGCGCCAACUGCCCUCCCAGUCACUUGGCUGGAAAUAGGCAGCAGCGAACAUGCUGUGCUGCUUUCCCAGGCCUCCAGGCCGCAGCCUCGGGACCCCACGCAGGGAAACCACUUGCCAACGAGUGAGAGGAUGGUUCACUCGGCCCAGAAGCUUCAGGACCCUCAUCAGGAACCACCCAACAGUCACGGGCAGCCCAGGGCAGGUCUCACCAGACCCAGCCCCCAGAUGCCCAGAGACGAGAGAGAGCCCAGGGCAGGUGUCCCGAGGCCCGACCUUCAUCCGCUCAGAGGCACCGAAUCCACUACAGGUCUACGUAGACCCGGACACCACUAUUGGACAUCAAUCGGCCGAGAGCCCGGCAGAGGUCUGCAGAGUGAACACAGUGCGGGCAGGGGCACCCCACACCCUGACGGAGCCGCUGGAGAAGGCCUUCCUGGACAGGAAGAGCAGGUCCACCUCUUCUGUUCCAAACUCCUCACUGGAGCUGAACUCUCAGAUAGAGUCCAUAGAUGAGCUUCUCCUGGACCAUCUGGAUCGCCCCGAACCUCCUGAGGCACAGCUCCAGAGUGUGGAGGACUGUGUGCCAGCUCCAGGCCCCGAUCAAGUCCCACCUGCAGAGCUCCUGCCUGCUCUACCUGCAGCUCCCUCACCAGCUGUGGCCCCACACCAAGAGCCAGGACCUAUAACCUCUUCCCCACCAGCUGCAGAGCCGGAACUCCUGGCAUCUCCACGACAGGUGUCAUCUCUUGAGCUCUACCUGGGGCCGGCUCUUGGCCCACUGCUGCCAUUCCUGUCACAUACAGAUUUACUUAUUAUACUUAUUGUUACUCUGACUGCUCAGAGACAGGACAAUGAUAGAAUUAAUGUAAAUAAAUUAACAUUUUACCCUUAUUUAAAAUGAUCAC
rnacentral:lncRNA from 1 species